UACGUAGGGUGCGAGCGUUAUCCGGAUUCAUUGGGUUUAAAGGGUGCGUAGGCGGGUUUGUAAGUCAGUGGUGAAAUCCUAUCGCUUAACGAUGGAACUGCCAUUGAUACUGCGGACCUAGAAUAUAGAUGAUGUUGGCGGAAUAUGACAUGUAGCGGUGAAAUGCAUAGAUAUGUCAUAGAACACCGAUUGCGAAGGCAGCUGACAAAACUAUUAUUGACGCUGAUGCACGAAAGUGCGGGGAUCAAACAGG
rnacentral:rRNA from 1 species